CUCAGCGGCCCCGAAAGCCGCCAGCAGCGCCGCCGUGACGCGGGGGGGCGGCGGUGCGGGGGGGGGCGCCGCCGGGGGGCGCUGUGGGGCGGAAGGGGGGGUGGUUGGGGGGCGGCCCCAUAGACGGACUGGGGGCGUUCAUAGGGGUCCCACAGCCCCACACCCUCAUAUGGGGGUCCCAGCCCCACACUUGGGGGUCCCACUGCCCCACAUGAGAGUCCCACAGCCCCACACCCACAUAUGGGGUCCCACCCCACACUUGGGGGUCCCACCCCAUAGUUGGGGGUCCCAGCCCCACACUUGGGGGUCCCACAGCCCCACAUUGGGGUCCCACAGCCCCACACCCAAACUUGGGGGCCCACCCCACAUAUGUGGGUCCCACCCCAUAGUUGGGGGCCCCACAGCCCCACACCCUCAUAUGGGGGCCCCACCCCACACUUGGGGGUCCCACAGCCCCACAUGGGAGCCCCACCCCACACUUGGGGGUCCCACAGCCCCACACCCACAUAUGGGGUCCCACCCCAUAGUUGGGGGUCCCACAGCCCCACACCCACACUUGGGGGUCCCACCCCAUAGUUGGGGGUCCCAGCCCCACACUUGGGGGUCUCACAGCCCCCCAUCCACACAUGGGGGUCCCACCCCACACUUGGGGGUCCCACAGCCCCUCACCCACACUUGGGGGUCCCACCCCACACUUGGGGGUCCCAGCCCACACUUGUGGGCUCCCCAGCCCCACACCCAUGGGUCCCAGCCCCACACUUGGGGGUCCCACAGCCCCACACCCACACAUGGGGGUCCCACCCCCAACUUGUGGGUCCCCCAGCCCCACACCCCAGGGUCCCCCAGCCCCACACCCGGGGGUCCCACAGCCCCCCACCCACAUAUAGGGGUCCCACAGCCCCCCACCCACACUUGUGGGUCCCACCCCCCACUUGUGGGUCCCAGCCCCCCACCUGCGCCCUCAGCCGCUCCAGUUGCUGAGUCAGCGCCUCCAGCUCGCGCUGCAGCUCCGGCAGUGGGGGGGGGGCCCUGCGGGGGGCGGGGGGCAUCAGCGGCCCUAUGGGGCAGCCCCAUAACUAACAGACCUAUGGGGCACUUAUGGGGCAGCCCCACAACUAACAGACCUAUGGGGCACUUAUGGGGCAGCCCCACAGCGGGGGGACUUAUGGGGCAGCCC
rnacentral:lncRNA from 1 species